rnacentral:rRNA from 1 species
GAUGAACGCUAGCUACAGGCUUAACACAUGCAAGUCGAGGGGAAACGACAUCGGAAGCUUGCUUUUGAUGGGCGUCGACCGGCGCACGGGUGAGUAACGCGUAUCCAACCUGCCCACCACUUGGGGAUAACCUUGCGAAAGUAAGACUAAUACCCAAUGACGUCUCUAGAAGACAUCUGAAAGGGAUUAAAGAUUUAUCGGUGAUGGAUGGGGAUGCGUCUGAUUAGCUUGUUGGCGGGGUAACGGCCCACCAAGGCGACGAUCAGUAGGGGUUCUGAGAGGAAGGUCCCCCACAUUGGAACUGAGACACGGUCCAAACUCCUACGGGAGGCGGCAGUGAGGAAUAUUGGUCAAUGGGCGAGAGCCUGAACCAGCCAAGUCGCGUGAGGGAAGACGGUCCUACGGAUUGUAAACCUCUUUUGUCGGGGAGUAACGUGCGGGACGCGUCCCGUAUUGAGAGUACCCGAAGAAAAAGCAUCGGCUAACUCCGUG